UAGAGCCUGGUCACAGGUAGUGAACUAUAAAUUAACUCUCCAUUCCUUUAUCUAGAGCCUGGUCACAGGUAGUGAACUAUAAAUGAACUCCCUAUUCCUUUAUCUAGAGCCUGGUCACAGGUAGUGAACUAUAAAUUAACUCUCCAUUCCUUUAUCUAGAGCCUGGUCACAGGUAGUGAACUAUAAAUGAACUCCCCAUUCCUUUAUCUAGAGCCUGGUCACAGGUAGUGAACUAUAAAUUAACUCUCCAUUCCUUUAUCUAGAGCCUGGUCACAGGUAGUGAACUAUAAAUGAACUCCCUAUUCCUUUAUCUAGAGCCUGGUCACAGGUAGUGAACUAUAAAUUAACUCUCCAUUCCUUUAUCUAGAGCCUGGUCACAGGUAGUGAACUAUAAAUUAACUCUCCAUUCCUUUAUCUAGAGCCUGGUCACAGGUAGUGAACUAUAAAUGAACUCCCUAUUCCUUUAUCUAGAGCCUGGUCACAGGUAGUGAACUAUAAAUGAACUCCCUAUUCCUUUAUCUAGAGCCUGGUCACAGGUAGUGAACUAUAAAUUAACUCUCCAUUCCUUUAUCUAGAGCCUGGUCGCAGGUAGUGAACUAUAAAUGAACUCUCCAUUCCUUUAUCUAGAGCCUGGUCACAGGUAGUGAACUAUAAAUUAACUCUCCAUUCCUUUAUCUAGAGCCUGGUCGCAGGUAGUGAACUAUAAAUUAACUCCCCAUUCCUUUAUCUAGAGCCUGGUCACAGGUAGUGAACUAUAAAUGAACU